GAUGAAGAACGUAGCGAAAUGCGAUAAGUAGUGUGAAUUGCAGAAUUCAGUGAAUCAUCGAAUCUUUGAACGCACAUUGCGCCCUUUGGUAUUCCUUAGGGCAUGCCUGUUCGAGCGUCAUUUAAACCUUCAAGCUAAGCUUGGUGUUGGGUGACUGUCCGCUUCACGGCGGACUCGCCUCAAAAUUAUUGGCGGCCGGUACAUUGGCUUCGAGCGCAGCAGAAACGCGAACUCGGGCCCGUCGUAUUGGCUCCCAGACGCUAUCUUCACAUUUUUGACCUCGGAUCAGGUAGGGAUACCCGCUGAACUUAAGCAUAUCAAUAAGCGGAGGA
rnacentral:misc_RNA from 1 species